GACGGAGGAUGCAAGCGUUAUCCGGAAUUAUUGGGCGUAAAGCGUCCGCAGGUGGCUUUUCAAGUCUGUUGUCAAAGCGCGGGGCUUAACUCCGUACAGGCAAUGGAACUGUGAAGCUAGAGUAUGGUAGGGGUAGAGGGAAUUCCCGGUGUAGCGGUGAAAUGCGUAGAUAUCUGGAGGAACACCGGUGGCGAAGGCGGCAUCCUGGACCAAUAUUGACGCUGAGGAGCGAAAGCCAGGGGAGCAAACGGG
rnacentral:rRNA from 1 species